AAAGCAGGGGAUCGCAAGACCUUACGCUUUUGGAGCGGCCGAUGUCUGAUUAGCUAGUUGGUGAGGUAAAGGCUUACCAAGGCUUCGAUCAGUAGCUGGUCUGAGAGGACGACCAGCCACACUGGGACUGAGACACGGCCCAGACUCCUACGGGAGGCAGCAGUGGGGAAUUUUGGACAAUGGGCGAAACCCUGAUCCAGCCAUGCCGCGUGAGUGAAGAAGGCCUUCGGGUUGUAAAGCUCUUUCAGCCGGAAAGAAACGGUUACGAUUAAUACCUGUAACUAAUGACGGUACCGAAAGAAGAAGCACCGGCUAACUACGUGCCAGCAGCCGCGGUAAUACGUAGGGUGCGAGCGUUAAUCGGAAUUACUGGGCGUAAAGGGUGCGCAGGUGGUUUUGUAAGUCAGAUGUGAAAUCCCCGGGCUUAACCUGGGAACUGCGUUUGAAACUACAAGGCUAGA
rnacentral:rRNA from 1 species